AUUGAAUUCCAAAUAAUCGAAUUUGAAUUGGGAAUCAUGUACUCAUAAACCGAUAUGUACAUAGCGACAAUGGAAUUAGAGUGUCACAUGUAAGGAUCGAAAUGCGGUGAAAUAUCAUAUCGAUGUAUCGAAACUUUGGCGGUAUUACAACAUGGAAUUGUCGAAUCCGUAAAUAAAAAGAUUUUGAUUAAAAAUAGAAUAUAAUAUAAUUCUACAACACAAAUUUAUUUACAAAUAGGAGGUGUAAAAAAGAAUAGUUAAUGAGUCUAUCAUACAUGAAAGUCUAAUACUUAAACUAGAUUCAUCUUUAUAAUACCAUAAUUAGAUUCAUUUUUAUAAUAAUGAAAACCUAUAAAAAACAAGUAUAUAGUAAAAUAUGAAAAUAUUUAAGAAAAAUAGUUUUGACUUUUCAACACUAACCAUAACAAAUGAUGACGGGACAUGUGGCAAUGGCUUAAGAGAAAGAAAAAAAAUUAAGAUAUGAAACAUAUUUCCUUCUUCGUUUACCCUCCCUAUAUAUAGAUUAAUAACAACAUCUUAAAUGCUUUUAAUUUAAGUAUCCAUAAUACCUCACUUGAUGCAGAAGCUUAUGUACUGAACAAACAAUAUCAGUCCAACAUAAUUCCAAAAGCUCAUAACUAAACACAAUGAACGUCCAACAUAUGAUUCCAAAAGCUCAUGACUAAACACAAUGAAAGUGGAAAGAUUUAAGAGUAGCAAUUGAAAAUGAUUAUUUACAAACCUUAUUUUAAAAUAUUCCAAAUACCCAAAACAGUAACAUAUCAUUCUUAGAUUUUCAAAAAAAAAUUGGAACAGAAGCAAACAUUAAUGGGACAACAAACGGUUAAUCACCACCGUGCCGUGAGUGAAAUUGAUUCCUACAUAACAAUGAUUCCAGAAUAUCAUCAAAGUAAAAAAACAAUAUUAGACAUCCAACAUAAUGAAAAAGAUCUGAAACGGCAAGAUUAGAAGAUUACCAACAUCAUUGAAUCGUUACCGUUGCCGUAUAGUCGACAAUGUUACCGAGUUGUAUAAGGAGUUGUUGUUACGUUGGUUGCUGCUGUAUCGACAUUGCGAAGCCUUGGUACGAAUUGAAAUGGAAAGCCGGGAGCAAUGAUUUGUGACGGUUUGUUGAUGUUUUCUGCUGCCUUCUUUUUGACUCGAACAUGGCGGCGUGCAGAAGAGCGACGGAAGCACCACUGCAGAUGCUAGCAAAGAAACCUUGAUAUGUGGGAACCCGUUUGUGAGAUUGGUGGAUGGCGAUGGUAGAAGGAGGACGCUUCUGGUGGUGUUCUGGCGGUUAGUGGCAGUGGUAUUCGUGGCCGGAAGUGGUUGUUGUUCGACGGUGUGGAAGAAGAUUAGGGGUGAGAAGACAGAUUAGGUGGUUGUCGAAGUUGUUUGGUUAUGAGUGGUGGUGCAGUUGCGAAUGGAAAUGAGCGGAUUCACUGUGGUGCGGUGAAGGACGAACGACGUGCGUGGUUCUGUUUAUUGUUGUGGCUGUUCACGGUGGAUGGUUGAGCGGCGACAUCACAAAGGUCAUGUGUGGUUUAAAGGAGGAUGAUGGUUGUGCGUUGGGGUUGGAAGUGAGGAAGAAGAAUGUGUGGUCCGUGAGAGAGAUCUCAAGAGAAGCUUUUAUUACUUUUUUUUUCUUUUUUUUAAU
rnacentral:lncRNA from 1 species